rnacentral:tRNA from 1 species
GGGUCUAUAGCCAAGUGGUAAGGCGUGGGACUGCAACUCCCUGAUGCGUUGGUUCAAAUCCGACUAGGCCCUCCA